rnacentral:lncRNA from 1 species
CAACAUGGCAAAACCCCGUCUCUACAAAAAUACAAAAAUUAGCCAGGUGUGGUGAUCCCUGCCUGUGGUUCUAGAUACUCAGGAGGCUGAGGUGGGAGGAUUGCUUGAGCCUGGGAGGUGGAAGUUGCAGCGAGCAGAGAUCAUGCCACUGCUCNNNNNNNNNNCAUGCCACUGCUCUCCAGCCUGGGAGACAGAGGGAGACCCUGUCUAAAAACAAUAAAAGAUGAAUGAAUGGAAAUUAUCGGAAAGCAGACUUCAACUCAUCAUGAGAAAAUUUACUUUGAACACUACUGAAAAUAUCACCAAUUAUGUGCUGCAUAUUACUUUGGACCUAUUACUAUGCUAAUCAUGUUUAUACAUAUUUAUUCCUCAUAACCAACCAAUAAAUCAGAUACUAUCCCUAUUUUAAUAUAUCAGGAGAUGGAGGCUCAGAGACGUCAAUUUACUUGCCCAAAAUUACGUAGCUAAUAAGUGGCAAAACUAGAAUUCAAUAAUGCUUACAAACUUUAAAAAUCUUUGUUCUAGACCACUAUGCUAUAUUGCCUCUAUAAAGCCACCCCAAAAUAUCCAGGAUUGAUUGGGAUUAUUAAAUCUGCACAUUGAUGUUGUUCAUUGGCAGUAGAAAAUUUCAGCCAAUACUCCUUUUUAAAAAUGUUUUAAAAACAAGCUCUGGCAAGUUUUAUUAAAGAAAAAUUUUGAGGCCGGGCGCGAUGGCUCACACCUGUAAUCCCAGCACUUUAGGAGGCCGAGGCGGGUGGAUCAAGAGGUCAGGAGAUCGAGACCAUCCUAGCUAACACGACGAAACCCUGUCUCUACUAAAAAUACAAAAAAUUAGCUGGGCAUGGUGGUGGGUGCCUGUAGUCCCAGCUACUCAGGAGGCUGAGGCAGGAGAAUGGUGUGAACCCGGGAGACGGAGCUUGCAGUGAGCCGAGAUCGCGCCACUGCACUCCAGCCUGGGUGACAGAGCGAGACUCUGUCUUAAAAAAAAAAAAGAAAAGAAAAAAGAAAAUUUUUGCAUAGUAUACUUCCCACCAGUCUAUUCUGGCAUGCUUCUAAUAUGAGAAUCACCUGGAUCAAAGAGAGCCAGUGUGCAUACUCUGUAGUAUUUUCCACAUGCUGUGCCCAAUUCAAUAUUAUUGUCACUGUAGUGAUGGACACCAGUCCGGCCAACAUUUCAUAGUACUCUAUUUUGGAUUUCCUCAAAGCUGGGCAGUUGUUAGAGAGGAUGACCAAUUUCACUUUGCCUUGUGUGAUCAACUUCAGAGUCUGCUUGUACCCCAGCAUGUACUUUCUACUUUUCAUAACUAGAGUUGAUCAACUCCAGUGACUUUUUCAUCUUCUUUGUGGCUACCAUCUUCCUGCCUAGGUGUGGGAUGGCCCCCAACCAAGAGCAGCCACCAAGAUGGUGGAAAGUGAGAAAGGCACCCAUACCUCUUGAGAUACUAUCUUUUUCCAUCCACUCUUUUCCUUCUUGACUCUGAUUAAAUUUAAGUUAGACUUUAUCAUGUUAGCCUCUCUAACUUACUGUAUAUCUUUUUGUCUGUCUUUGCUGCAUCCUAGAUUUCUUCUGAUUUAACUUCCAGGUCAUCAAUUCUCAAAGUCAGAAGUGUAAGAUCUUAUCUCCUCUCUGACUUUUGCUUACAUACUUACAUUUUUUUCUCUCAGAUCUUCUUGCCUUUCUCUUAUAGAACACCUGUGAUUACAAUGAGCCUACUUGGAUAAUCCAGAAUAAUCUCUCCAAUCUCAAAAUCAUUCAUUUUAUCAUAUCCACAAAGUUCCUUUUACCAUAUAAAGUAACAUUUCCACAGGUUCCAGAGACUACGAUGUGGACAUCUUUGAGGAGCCAUGAUUCAACCCACCACAGUAAGCACAGUUAUUUUAUAGUCUGUGUCCAAUAAUUUCAAGAUCUAAAAGUGUUCCCAGAUUUGUUUUUGUUGUCUGUUUUUCAGAUGGUUCCCACACGUGUUGCUUGCUUCAGUAUGUGCUGGGUUAAAAAAAAAUGGUGCCCAAUAAUAAUUUACCUAACAUUUUUAGUUGUUUUUAUUAGCAGUGUUUGGGCUGAAAAAUAGCCCACUAUAAAGAGAAAUUAAAAUUCAAGUCUUCCAACAAUAAUGAUUGAUGUAUUGCCCACUGACAGUAUGGCAAUCACUGUCUUGAUGGCAUAAUGUACAUUCUAUAUAGGAAAAAGCCAUGGAAGGGACUGCAGUAGGAAGUUCCCAAACCCAGGACAAUUCAAGUAGGGAUAAUGAGAGCUGAAAGGUACAUCAUGUUUACUGGGGAAGAAACCUUUAAAAUUAGAUGUUUCAAAAUGAUAAUGGGUCUGUGCAAAUACCCUUAUAAUUAUUACUAAGGAGUUUCAUGCCCUUCACACAUUCCUUUAGUCACUUACUAUUCAGCAGGCAUUUUGUUGAACACCAAUGAUGUAUCUAUCCAUUACUCUGCAGGUAAGUAAAAAUACAAAGACGAAUACAAACAAUCUCUGACCUUAAGGAGAUCACCAGUUACUUGGGAAAACAGACACAGACACUGCUAGGAUACCACGUGGUGGUUUGAGUGCAGUGAUGAAGGAAAACACAGAGGAGGAGGUGCCUCAC